AGAAUCAACGCUGGCGGCGUGCCUAACACAUGCAAGUCGCACGAGAAAGGGUAGCAAUACCUGAGUAAAGUGGCGCACGGGUGAGUAACACGUGAAUAAUCUACCUCCGAGUGGGGAAUAACCUAGAGAAAUCUGGGCUAAUACCGCAUAACACUUACGAGUCAAAGCAGCAAUGCGCUUGGAGAGGAGUUCGCGGCAGAUUAGCUAGUUGGCGGGGUAAUGGCCCACCAAGGCGAUGAUCUGUAUCCGGCCUGAGAGGGCGCACGGACACACUGGAACUGAAACACGGUCCAGACUCCUACGGGAGGCAGCAGUGGGGAAUUUUGCGCAAUGGGGGAAACCCUGACGCAGCAACGCCGCGUGGAGGAUGAAAUCCCUUGGGAUGUAAACUCCUUUCGAUAGGGAAGAUAAUGACGGUACCUAUAGAAGAAGCCCCGGCUAACUUCGCGCCAGCAGCCGC
rnacentral:rRNA from 1 species